CAAGUAUACUGCCCUAGAAGUGCUGCACACUGUUGGGCCCCGAGGGAGGCGGCGGCGAGAGGCGACGGAGCCGGGGGAGACGCCGGAGCCUGGAUGUUGGAGGCUCUGCCCCGCCGUGUUGGCUGGUAAGGGCUUCGGCGGGGCAGCGAGCUCUGGGGCCCUUGAAGCGGUCUGCUCGUGGAUGUUGAGGGGAACAAAGCCCCCCUCCCCAACCCCGGGCUGGGGUAUGGGGUGUGUCGGGCUAGGAGAGGUUUGCACACUGGAAUCAUAAAAACCAACAUUUAAAAGUAAAAAAAUUAAAUUAAAAAAAAACCCCAGCAUUUACAGAGCACUUUGUGCAAAGCCCUGUCCUAAGCGUUGGAAAUGGAGUCUUUCAGGAGCUAGUGUCUGUUGUUACAGAGAAGAAAACAGGCAUAGGAAGUGCCAAAAGUCACAAGGGAUGUGACAGAAAUGAGGGACAGGAUUUGACCCCAAGCAGUCUGGCUUGAGAAUCCAUGUCCUUGGAGACGGGCCUCAGGGGCAUUCCUGCCCUGCGGACCUGCUUUGCAGACAGGCUUGACCAUAAACACACGUAGGCCGCUUCUCUCCCCCGACAAGGCAAGCUGUGAAGGCAGUCCUUAGCUUUGUCGUACGUGCCUGGGUGGGCAUUAGGACGUGGGUCUGCCGUGGGCAGGAUUUUCCUUUUCCGCCCUCCCAGGCCCAGGAUGUUGGCGGGAAUGAGAAGUUGCUGGUGUGUCUGCCCCAGCGGCUGCUGAGAAAGGUGCCUCCAUGGGAGCUCAGCAAAAGACAGUUUAAUCCUCUGGGGCCGCCCAGCCCCACCCGCAGAUGCCAACUUUGGGUCCAGUGAGCUGCGCGGCCAGCUGGUGUGCCAUGGCAACAGGAAGUGGACCCAAGCCACCAAGGUUGGAGAGCCAAGACACACUGGCUACUUGGGGGAACCUCCGGCGAACCUGGAGAACCCAUGAGGGGGGCCCGCACUUUGACCGAACCCACUGAACCAGCCUUUGGUCCUGGCCUGUCUCGCGUUGGUGCCUUUGUGGUCUUUGAGCCGUGAACACUCCAGUUCUCCGUCCUGCUGAUUUUCUCCACCCUCCAGUCUGGUGCUUAUGGGAAUUCACACAAGCCGGAGAGGUGAAGCGAGGUGUCCGUGGUUUACUCCUCUGACACCACUAAGACAAGCUUUGGCCCAUGAGGGGGUGGGGCUCCCGGUACCUUUGAUGCAGGCCAAGGACAACACGCGCUGUGACCCCCCCUACCCCACCCCCAUGCCCCCACUGCUCCUCCGCCAGCCACGGCCCGCGGCCCUCCCCUUCUCAUGCCUGUCUGCCUGGACUCCGUCUUUUUUGGGUCUGUCUUGCCGACUUCAGUGCUUCCUAGCGCUGAGGGGAGGAAGAUGUGCCUGUUUCCAUUUGGACCACUUUAUGUAAGUCGGAAGAACCCUUAGGAAGGUUUUCUGAGUCUAACCUUGGCCUUGAGACACCCCUUCUGGUCCAAGUCAGUCCUCUCUCCCUCAAAGCUGGGAGCACAGUGGGCAGCCGGGCUCCCUUCAGCCAGUGGAUUCCUGCGGGAAUUGUUCCGUGUCUCCUCCGGUGCUCAGAGGGCUUCAGAGACGGCCCUUUUGUGGCACACAUCGGCCUGGCCGCGCCCCGUGCCCACUUGGCCCACAUUCCGCUCUGCCCCCCAGGCCCGUGGAGCCGGGCGUGGGCUGAAGUGAGGCCGCCGGAAUGCCCGGAAUGCGGGCCGCCGCGACCGACGGACACUCACGUCCCUCUCGGGAGAUCUGACCAACGCAGGGCCGGGGAGGGCGCUGAGCCCAAGUCUUUACAUUCUUCCCAGUUUUAGGCCGAAGGGAAGGACGCCUGCACUUCUCCCCACCGCCAGCUGACUCAUGGUCCCGAACUUCUGAAUUAAAGGGGCCACACUCUGGGACUGUGAUCUAACUGGCCUGUUGGGUCCCGGUCAAAUUAUUUGCGAGUAACCUCUUUUCGCAUCUAGCUUGGCUUUCCAUUAGGCCGACACAGAAACCAGAAAAACGCUGAUUCUCGGAUACGCUUCCCCUGCAGAAGUUGCCGGAUAAAAAGGAGAGAGAGCACACACAAGCCGGGGAGUGCACGACAUAGACCGGUCGCUGGCCUUAUCAAGCACUCAUUCUGCAGAGACACAGACAGGACCUCCCCUAGGACUCUGACCGCCCACCACUUGGCUGGUCCAACAGUAAUGUAAUGUGUCCAGAACUGACGUCCUGCUGUUGCCUCCCCAUACACCUGCUCCCUCCAGGGAAAGGCAACUCUGUCCUUUAAUCUUAGAAGUCUAGAAUCUUCCUUGACUCCUCCUGGGCUCACACUCACAUCUGAGCCUCUGGAGCGUGUCAGAUGCCAUUAGAAUCCCCUCUGCUGGACACCUGGAAGUACCACCAUCAUCCUCCGGCCCAGGCGCACCUGGCCCUAUUACCUGGCUUUACGCCUCUCCCACACUUACCACCAUUGGACACAUUGUAUAUUUGUUGAUUGUUUAUCAUCUCUGUCGACCGGAAGGUAAACUCCUAGAAAGUAAGGAUUUGGUUUCCCUCCAUGUCAUAACUUCAGAUAAUGAGCAGCUGUUCAGUCAGUGUGUGUGGGAUGAGUAAAUGACCGGAUCCCUUGAUUCACUGAAAUUAUACAAUAUUCUUCAAACACUACUUAUAAGCACGAAUGAAUUACUUGACAUAUGUAUAAUAAUUCCACUUUAUAAAAUAAAACUCUGGGCUGAAGACCCUCAGACCUA